AUACGAAGGGGGCUAGCGUUGUUCGGAAUCACUGGGCGUAAAGAGCACGUAGGCGGACUUGUUAGUCAGGGGUGAAAUCCCGGGGCUCAACCUCGGAACUGCCUUUGAAACUGCAAGUCUUGAGUCCGAGAGAGGUGAGUGGAAUUCCUAGUGUAGAGGUGAAAUUCGUAGAUAUUAGGAAGAACACCAGUGGCGAAGGCGGCUCACUGGCUCGGUACUGACGCUGAGGUGCGAAAGCGAGGGGAGCAAACAGGAUUAGAUACCCUGGUAGUCCACGCCGUAAACGAUGGAUGCUAGCCGUCGGCAAGCUUGCUUGUCGGUGGCGCAGCUAACGCAUUAAGCAUCCCGCCUGGGGAGUACGGUCGCAAGAUUAAA
rnacentral:rRNA from 1 species